AGCAGUGUAGCAUAGUGGUUAAUGAGUAGUACUUGUAAUGGAAAGGUUGCCAGUUCAAUUCCCCACAGGGACACUGCUG